AACACUUGUGUACUCUGAUGCUUAGCAAACACAUUAGCCGUAUAGCCCAUUAGGGCCUCUCAGUUGCCCUUUGGAGGAUUCGUUCUGAGAAUCAUAUUAUAUCCUGCUCCAGUUCUAAUUAUCUGCACUCACAAUGUGCUCAUUACGAGCUUACGCAGCUUUAUGAGCAACACUCCAGGCGCCCUCUUCCCAGCGAGGUGCUGCAGGCCCCCGCGGGGAAUCGAUCAGCCUUCCUCUGCUUUACGCCAGAUCUGUCUGUCUACCUGUCUGCAUGCCAGCUCUAAGUCAUAUGAAGGGCAACAGAGCCGGAGGGUAAGACACUGCAGGGAACAAGGCCUCAACCAGGUGGUACAUCUGUGCGUGUGUGUGUGUGUGCAUUCAGAUUUAGUCAAGUGAUGUGUAGAGAAGACGUUAAGCUUCUUCUCUCUCCUAAAUCUUCCUCUAUAGCAAAAAGGACACUUGUGAUCAUCCUCUAUCCUCUUAGCUGCUGAUGAAAGGGAGAGAAAUGUGAGCGCCUCUACAGUAGCAUUUCUUUUAUAAUGAAUCACAGCAGUGAGGAGGAGUUAUGUCAGGAGUCUUUACAAAUUACAGUGUUUUCUCCUUUGGUGCAAUCGUUUAAAAGUGAUAAAUGGAACAUAAAAUUAACAAAAACAUU